GACAGAGGGGGCAAGCGUUGCUCGGAAUUACUGGGCGUAAAGGGCGCGUAGGCGGUUUGACAAGUCUGAUGUGAAAUCUCUGGGCUCAACCCAGAGUCUGCAUUAGAAACUGUCGGGCUUGAGUAUGGGAGAGGUGAGUGGAAUUUCCGGUGUAGCGGUGAAAUGCGCAGAUAUCAGGAGGAACACCGGUGGCGAAGGCGGAUCUCUGGGCCUUACCUGACGCUGAGGCGCGAAAGCUAGGGGAGCGAACAGG
rnacentral:rRNA from 1 species